rnacentral:rRNA from 1 species
CCUACGGGUGGCUGCAGUGGGGAAUAUUGCACAAUGGGCGCAAGCCUGAUGCAGCCAUGCCGCGUGUAUGAAGAAGGCCUUCGGGUUGUAAAGUACUUUCAGUCGUGAGGAAGGUGUUAAGGUUAAUAACCUUAGCAAUUGACGUUAGCGACAGAAGAAGCACCGGCUAACUCCGUGCCAGCAGCCGCGGUAAUACGGAGGGUGCGAGCGUUAAUCGGAAUUACUGGGCGUAAAGGGCACGCAGGCGGUUAUUUGAGUGGGAUGUGACGUCCCGGGUCUUAACGGGGGAAGGGAAUUCAAGUGGGGUUAGAUGGAGGUUUGUGGGGGGGGGUAGAUUUCGAUGUGUAUGGGUAAGAUGGGUGGAGAUGGGGAGGAAUGCGGGGGGGGAGGGCGCUCCCGUGAAAAAAGACUGACGCUCGUGUGCGAAAGGGUGGGGCGCAAACAGUUUAAGAUACCCGGGU